rnacentral:rRNA from 1 species
AGUCGAACGGUGAUGGCCAGCUUGCUGGUCUGAUCAGUGGCGAACGGGUGAGUAACACGUGAGCAACCUGCCCCUGACUCUGGGAUAACGACCGGAAACGGUCGCUAAUACCGGAUAUGAGACGUACAGGCAUCUGUUGCGUCUGGAAAGUUUUUCGGUCAGGGAUGGGCUCGCGGCCUAUCAGCUUGUUGGUGGGGUAACGGCCUACCAAGGCGACGACGGGUAGCCGGCCUGAGAGGGCGACCGGCCACACUGGGACUGAGACACGGCCCAGACUCCUACGGGAGGCAGCAGUGGGGAAUAUUGCACAAUGGGCGCAAGCCUGAUGCAGCGACGCCGCGUGAGGGAUGACGGCCUUCGGGUUGUAAACCUCUUUCAGCAGGGAAGAAGCGCAAGUGACGGUACCUGCAGAAGAAGCGCCGGCUAACUACGUGCCAGCAGCCGCGGUAAUACGUAGGGCGCAAGCGUUGUCCGGAAUUAUUGGGCGUAAAGAGCUCGUAGGCGGUUUGUCGCGUCUGCUGUGAAAACCUCAGGCUCAACCUGGGGCUUGCAGUGGGUACGGGCAGACUAGAGUGCGGUAGGGGUGACUGGAAUUCCUGGUGUAGCGGUGGAAUGCGCAGAUAUCAGGAGGAACACCGAUGGCGAAGGCAGGUCACUGGGCCGCAACUGACGCUGAGGAGCGAAAGCAUGGGGAGCGAACAGGAUUAGAUACCCUGGUAGUCCAUGCCGUAAACGUUGGGCACUAGGUGUGGGGCUCAUUCCACGAGCUCUGUGCCGCAGCAAACGCAUUAAGUGCCCCGCCUGGGGAGUACGG